rnacentral:lncRNA from 1 species
UCUUGAAGACUGCGGGCAGGUUUGACAGAACCUGUAGGUGUUUUCAGACUCUGAGCUGAUUCAUCCCCUUUGGUUGCUAAUUCUCCCAGCUACCAUACCAUCUCUUCUCUCUGGAUACUGCACAAUUUCUCUUUGUGUGGGGAUAAGAUUCUCAAGACCUGCCCACUCCAUGCAUUCUGUGUCUUUUCUACAUUUUGACUCUGCCAUUGAGUAUGAGAGACACUACAGAAAACUUCUGGUGAUUUGGAUACAGUGGGAGGGAGAGGAAUCAAGAUCAUUUAAUCACCCUGUGCCUCAGUUUCAUCAUCUGUGAUAUGGGAACAGUAGCAAGCUACAUAUCACUCAUGGAAUCAUUGUGAGUAGUAAAUGAGCUCGUACAUUAAAAAAAUUUAAAACAGUGCCUGGCACAUAAGAACUCAGCAAGU